rnacentral:rRNA from 1 species
UACGUAGGGCGCAAGCGUUGUCCGGAAUUAUUGGGCGUAAAGGGCUCGUAGGCGGUCUGUUGCGUCGGUAGUGAAAACUCAGGGCUUAACCCUGAGCCUGCUUCCGAUACGGGCAGACUAGAGGUAUGCAGGGGAGAACGGAAUUCCUGGUGUAGCGGUGAAAUGCGCAGAUAUCAGGAGGAACACCGGUGGCGAAGGCGGUUCUCUGGGCAUUACCUGACGCUGAGGAGCGAAAGUGUGGGGAGCGAACAGG